GGAGCUGCAGUAGAGUUGGAGGUAGGAGCUGUAGUGGAGUCAAAGGGAGGAUCGAAGGUAGGAUCUGCAGUGGUGUUGGAGGUAGGAUCUGUAGUGGAGUCGGAGGUAGGAGCUGUAGUGGAGUCGAAGGGAGGAUCGAAGGUAGGAUCUGCAGUGGUGUUGGAGGUAGGAGUUGUAGUGGAGUCAAAGGGAGGAUCGAAGGUAGGAUCUGUAGUGGUGUUGGAGGUAGAAGCUGUAGUGGAGUCGGAGGUAGGAUCGAAGGUAGGAUCUGUAGUGGUGUUGGAGGUAGGAGCUGUAGUGGAGUCGGAGGUAGGAGCUGUAGUGGAGUCGAAGGGAGGAUCGAAGGUAGGAUCUGUAGUGGUGUUGGAGGUAGGAUCUGUAGUGGAGUCGGAGGUAGGAGCUGUAGUGGAGUCGAAGGGAGGAUCGAAGGUAGGAUCUGCAGUGGUGUUGGAGGUAGAAGCUGUAGUGGAGUCGGAGGUAGGAUCGAAGGUAGGAUCUGCAGUGUUAAUGCGAGCUAAAAUAAUUUUCAGGGUUAAUUAAUACAAUAAAGCUACAAUAACGCGUUAACUUGUCCAGUCCUAAUUUUUAUAAAAUCUAAAUCUAAAAUCAAGAGAAGUAUUGUAAUAUAACAUUUUAAUUUUCAUGUUUUUACAUGCUGGUGGAUGGACUGUAGUUGUAGUAGUUGGUGGUGUAAAUGACGUUGAAGUUCGUGCUGUUGUAGUUGUAACCAGUGCUGGUGAAGAUGAUGAUGUAGUUGGUGCUGGUGUAGGCGGUGUUGUAGUUGUAGUCAUUGUUGUAGUCAGUGCUGGUGUAGGUGGUAUUGUAAUAGGUAAGGAGAUAAUUGAUGUGGUAGUUGUAGUAUUUGUAGCCAGUCCAGAUGGAGCGAUUCCAGUUUGAGCUGUGGAAUUAAAGAAACAUUUGAUAUCAACAAUCAGAUCAUCUGUACUGUUG
ensembl:lncRNA